AUUGAACGCUGGCGGCAGGCCUAACACAUGCCAGUCGAGCGGAUGAAGGGAGCUUGCUCCUGGAUUCAGCGGCGGACGGGUGAGUAAUGCCUAGGAAUCUGCCUGGUAGUGGGGGAUAACGUCCGGAAACGGGCGCUAAUACCGCAUACGUCCUGAGGGAGAAAGUGGGGGAUCUUCGGACCUCACGCUAUCAGAUGAGCCUAGGUCGGAUUAGCUAGUUGGUGGGGUAAAGGCCUACCAAGGCGACGAUCCGUAACUGGUCUGAGAGGAUGAUCAGUCACACUGGAACUGAGACACGGUCCAGACUCCUACGGGAGGGAGCAGUGGGGAAUAUUGGACAAUGGGCGAAAGCCUGAUCCAGCCAUGCCGCGUGUGUGAAGAAGGUCUUCGGAUUGUAAAGCACUUUAAGUUGGGAGGAAGGGCAGUAAGUUAAUACCUUGCUGUUUUGACGUUACCAACAGAAUAAGCACCGGCUAACUUCGUG
rnacentral:rRNA from 1 species